UCUCAUUCUAACAAUCAAACAACAACAACAACAAUAUCUCUCUCAAAGCUCGCUUCAAUCUCUCUCUUUGAUUAAACAUUCGAGUUUUCCUCAAUCAUCAUUAAAUCACCUCAUCAAGGUUUCGUUUUAACAUCUUGGAUUACCAAACAAGAGAGGUUACACACUACUCCGGAUCGUUAUCAAUUUUAUUUUACAUAAAAGCGUGAAUGAGAUUAUGAUGGAAU